CAUUUUUCUUUCUUUACCCUCUUCUUCAUCUUUCUCAUUCUUCCUCUUCCUUUCCGAAUCCUCACAUCUCUCUCAAAUAAAAUUAUGUAGAAAAAUUCAAAUAAAUAAACCCAACAACUAUUGGAUGCUUCACAGCUUUAAGAUGUUGCACCAGUUCCCCAUGUAAAACACAUUCAAUCUCUCUCACAUCAAAUGGCGGUUCCGAUCGAAGAAGCCACAGCUGCACUAUCCAUAUUUUCUCUAGAGAUAACAAACUCUAUUAACACUGUUUUGAAAAUUCAAUUGUUUUUAGUGAGCAUGUUUUCCUAAUUGAUGAAUUUCUUCCUUUGUCGUUAUAAUUUCAGGAUGAUCAAGCAGAGGUACAAGGCUCGAGGUUUGGGGUUUCAGCUAAAAGAGGUGCAACUAUUAGUCCAAUCGAACACACUUACUCAAGAGGGGAAGGAAAUGGGUUAUGUGCUCUACACAUAUAGAAGUUGAGUUAAAGCGCUUCGUCAGCUUACAUUACAGAUGUUGCACCAGUUCCCAUAUGUUGACACAUACAGCAUUUCUGUGAACGAGCCCUCCAACAUUGUGUCUCCCCCUCCCUCGUUUGGCAUUUGGGUUCGUUGAGAUGGAGAGUUCAUGGGAGUUGGAUCCGGGAUCCAUAUAACUUGCCCCUGAAUUACUAGCAUUGGUUGUCAGGGGAAGAACAGUGGAGUAGAGUUUAUUAUGUCCAUUGGGUGAAGAAGGGAAUCUGCACCAUACUUUCCAUGUUUGGAAAACAGCUUAGAUGAUGGGGUAAAUUCCGAAGUGCUUGCAUGGUGCUGAAGAACUCCAGAGUUGCGGCUGGCGUAAGGGGAUCCAUUGCAUUGGUCACCCACAUCUGGUUUACAAAGUUCUCCAUGGCUAACUUCAUUCCCUCCGUGACUAACUGCGCCAGAAAGUUUGAGUUUUGCAGAAUUAUUAUCGUCUUUACUCCAUUGAUGUCCAUGGAGAAGAGAGCUGCAUGGACUGGGAUAGCUGUCUCCACCCAUGACUGGGAAUGAUGGAGAGGGUGAACUGGUUGAGUGGAGAAUACAAGGGGAGCUUAGAGGGUCUCUGGGGUAUUGGGGAGUAAGUAAGGAUUGCUCAUCGCAGAGAAUGGGUUUCUCGAUGAGCGAGAGAUGGGAAGGAGACGAACUUUCUGAUGAAUAGGAAUUGGAGCUCUGAACAUUCUUAAUAAGAUUUAUUUUGAUAUUAGAGUUAAGAGAGUUGGGAAAUGAUUGAGUAUCAACAAUGGAAGAUAUAAUAGGCGGGGGAUUGGUCAUCAUUGGCGUAUCGAUAGCACAGGAAAAUUUUGGAAAAUUUGUAACGUUAUUAUCUAUAUCCACUUGUUCAAUUAUCUUAGCCAAGUGUAUAACCUGAGUAGGGGUACCCUUAGUAUUUAUGUCAACCCUACUAGUAUUAGGGGUAAAUUUUUCUAAUUGAGAAGUCGACACGUCGUUGCCUCUUGUAGGAUGAAUUGAAGAGUUUUGACUAGAGCAUGUCGCCUCAGAAGCUAGAGAGUCGGGAUCAUUAGUAGGGGGUAAAGUAAUUGAAUCUUUUUCUAAAUUCAUUACUAAUAUUUUCUUCCUCCAUAUUUUUCAAGAUGUCGAAUUUGUUUAUCGAGGAACUGUCAAAAUUUUGCUUAUCAAUCCUUAGAAGAGUCUGAGAGUAGUUCUGAAUAACUGGGGAGUUUCUAAAAUUAUCAGAAUUUUGCAAAACAACAGUAGUAGCAAAUUGUUUAGGACUGGGGGAGCAUUGAUCAGAGGAAAACAUGGUUUUGGGGACAAAAAUUUGGGAAUUAAAGAAUUUACCUGUUCCUUUAUACAUAAAUUUGACGUUUUUACCUGGGCUGCUUAUAUUAGCAGGGUCGAUUGCAUUCUUUGUAAGAUUUUGUGUUUGACGCUUUUUGCGAGGGAACUUUACUGUAAGCCAUUGACUUGACAUGGUGUCCUUCAGUGUACAAUGUUGUUUUGGACUUGUUUGAUAUACCAGUCACCAAAUGUUUCCCACUCUGUUCCUUUUUAUCGAAACUUAAUGAUGAGCUCUAGAGACAUAUAGGGAUAGUAUGUCCCAGUCUCCCACGGUUCUUGCAUAGGAAACCUUCUCCUUCUUAGGCAAUAUCCUGUUUAUGCCCUCCUACUUGAAUGGUUGUAGUGAUCGGUUCUUCCAUGGGAAUCUGUACACAUAGUCUUGCGUAUCUCCCACGCAGAGUAGCACUUGUACAGACAUCUAUUUUCACUAAUGUACCGAUAGAGUUGCCAAUACGCCUUAAUAGUAUACCAUCAUAAAACUCUGUAGGAAGUUGUGGUAGACGCACCCAAACAGCGGUGUAAGUUAAUUUGGAUUUUUCUGGGUUGAAAUUAGGAUCCCAUCUUUGAAUUGAUAAGAAAUGACCAUUAAUGAACCACGGGCCAUUUUGCAGGACAUAAGAGCGUUAUCCUCGUCUGCGAGUUUUACCGUGAAAAAAUCUGACUGGAAAUUUUUCGGGUAGCCGCCAGAGAGCUUGGAUUUUCUGGUUUAAGUAUUGGUGGGCGAUUCUUUUACCGAUAAGUUUAAUUAUGACAGAAUUUUUCCACGGGGCCCAGAGCCUUUCACUUUCAUCCUGGGAAAGAGUAAUUGUUUUUAUAUUGCUAGAGAGUUUAUUCUCUGACGUGACUUCCUUAGGUACAUUUAAGGAAUUCAAAUAACUUGUAUUGUUGUAGUCAUACAUUUCUACGUCAGAGAUGUAUUAUCCUGCUAAUAAUUUUUCUUUAAAACUAUCUUUUGAGGAAGUAAAAACACAUU